CCCUUAGAUGUUCUGGGCUGCACGCGCGCUACACCGAUGCACUCAACGAGUUUACGACCUUGCCCGAUAGGGUUGGGUAAUCUUUUUAAAAUGCAUCGUGAUGGGGAUAGAUUAUUGCAAUUAUUAAUCUUCAACGAGGAAUUCCUAGUAAGCGCGAGUCAUCAGCUCGUGCUGAUUACGUCCCUGCCCUUUGUACACACCGCCCGUCGCUCCUACCGAUUGAGUGCUCAGGUGAAUAAUUCGGACUGCAGCAAUGUUUGGAUCCCGAACGUUGCAGCGGAAAGUUUAGUGAACCUUAUCACUUAGAGGAAGGAGAAGUCGUAACA
rnacentral:rRNA from 1 species